rnacentral:rRNA from 1 species
GAAAUAUAUCUAGGUAUAGCCUUAUGUUGUCGACGUGAGGGGUAGAGCACUGGAUGCUUACGACUGUCGCAAGAUGGUCGGAGCAAUCAAACUCCGAAUACUCACGUUUUAUCAUAGGAGUCAGUCCGAUCCGGCUAAGCGGAGCGGUCCUGAGGGAAACAACCCAGACCAUCAGUUAAGGUCCCUAAAUGUAAGUUAAGUGUUAAAGGAUGUGAGAAUCCUUAGACAGCCAGGAAGUUGGCUUAGAAGCAGCCAUCUUUUAAAGAAAGCGUAACAGCUCGCUGGUCUACUAUGGGUUUUUGCGCUAACAAUGAAUCGGGGCUUAAACUUACUACCGAAGCUAUGGAUGCACAACGUAAGUUGUGCGUGGUAGAGGAGCGCUCUUGUGACAGUGAAGCUGGGCCGUAAGGCGUGGUGGAGUUGCAAGAGGUGAGAAUGCCGGUAUGAGUAGCGAGAUGAUUGUGAGAAACAAUCACGCCGAAAGCCCAAGGUUUCCUAUUCUACGUUAAUCGGAGUAGGGUUAGUCGGCACCUAAGGUGAGGCCAAACGGCGUAGCCGAUGGACGACCCGUUAAAAUUCGGGUACUGGGGUCUUACGAUUAAGACUUUACGGAUGGACAAAGUGGGAAUAGCUGAGCCAAUUCAGUCAAAUGAAUAUGGUUUAAAUAGCAAGCAAGUAAAGAUUGGUAAAUCCGUUUUUAUGAUUAUUUUGCAAGCGCAAGCAAGCAAAACAAGCGUAACAGACGCAAGUCUGUUGCGGUUAUGCGAGUUAUGAAUACGUAAGUCGGCAAUUUUCUGUUUUCAGGAAAAGAUUCGUAAAGAGUAAGAUUUUAGCCGUACCGUAAACCGACACAGGUGGGCGAGUUGAGUAUACAAAGGCGAUCGGGAGAACUAUCCUUAAGGAACUCGGCAACAAAAGCUGGACGUAAGUUUGCAAGAUGUCCCCCCCGAGCAAUCGGGGCGCAGCGAAUGACACUGAGUGACUGUUUAACUAAAACACAGGUCCCUGCUAAUCCGAAAGGAGAUGUAUAGGGGCUGACGCCUGCCCAGUGCCAGUAAUUUAACAUUGUUCCUGACUCUUUGCCGCAAGGCUGAGACGAGGGGGCGGUCUAAGAUCUGGUGAACGGCAGCAGUAACUAUGAGCAAAUUGUAGUUCUAAAAUUCGACUAAAUGCUGGAAUAACUCUGAAUCCGACAGUACUAAACUGUCAUUCUGAACGCAGUGAAGAAUCUAAUAGAUCCUUCGUUAGUACUCAGGAUGACAUGUAGAGUAAAAAUUUGUUCGGUGGAGUCAAUCAGCAGGGAAGACCCGGCACCAUUUGGUGCAGGGAACCCUCAGAGACUAUAUGUCGAAUCCGCUAUUGGCGGAAUGAUAUAGUCCGACCUCUGUAGCGAUGCAGAGAGUUUAGUAGAAAUACUAAACCUCCUAAACAGGAGUAACAUAAGUGAACUGUUCUAUGGUAGCGAAAUUCCUUGUCUGGUGAGUUCAGACCCGCACGAAAGGCAGAACGACUUAGUGACUGUCUUGAGGAUAGACCCGGCGAAAUUGCAAUGGCUGUGAAGAUGCGGCCUUCCCAUACUUGGACAAAAAGACCCCGUGGAGCUUUACUGUAGCUUGACCCUGAUUUGAAGUGUUAAUUGUGUAGCGUAGGAGGGAGAUUCGUCGUCAAUGCAACACCUCUCAUUUACUUUUUCAAGUCUUACAGUGUGCCAUAAUCUGGCCACUGAACAAGGUCUGGCGGGCAGUUUAACUGGGGCGGUUUCCUCCAAAAACGUAACGGAGGAGUGCAAAGGUACACUUGGCUCGGAUGGCAAUCGAGCCUUAAGCGCAAAAGUUUAGAGUGUGCUUGACUGUGAGACCUACAAGUCGAACAGGUGCGAAAGCAGGCUUUAGUGAUCCCUACUUACCUCGUGGGAGGGAGUAGGCUUAUCGGAUAAAAGUUACCCCGGGGAUAACAGGCUAGUGCUCUCCAACAGUCCACAAGGACGAGAGCGUUCGGCACCUCGAUGUCGGCUUAACCAAUAAAAUGGUUCUGGGCCCUCUAGGAAGAAAUUUCUAGAGCAAAUUGGCUAAUAACGGUGAACUCCGUAAUUGACUUUCGUAU